UUAGGAGUUGCCAGCUCAGUGGUAGAGUGCAUGCUUUGUAUGUAUGAUGUCCUGGGUUCAAUAAUCUGUUCUCAAA